rnacentral:rRNA from 1 species
AACGAACGCUGGCGGCAUGCCUAACACAUGCAAGUCGAACGAGACCUUCGGGUCUAUUGGCGCACGGGUGCGUAACGCGUGGGAACCUGCCCUUAGGUUCGGAAUAACUCCCCGAAAGGGGUGCUAAUACCGGAUAAUGUCUUCGGACCAAAGAUUUAUCGCCUUUGGAUGGGCCCGCGUUGGAUUAGCUAGUUGGUAGGGUAAAAGCCUACCAAGGCGACGAUCCAUAGCUUGUCUGAGAGGAUGAUCAGCCACACUGGGACUGAGACACGGCCCAGACUCCUACGGGAGGCAGCAGUGGGGAAUAUUGGACAAUGGGCGAAAGCCUGAUCCAGCGAUGCCGCGUGAGUGAUGAAGGCCUUAGGGUUGUAAAGCUCUUUUACCCGGGAUGAUAAUGACAGUACCGGGAGAAUAAGCUCCGGCUAACUCCGUG